GACGAACGCUGGCGGCGUGCCUAAUACAUGCAAGUAGAACGCUGAAGAGAGGAGCUUGCUCUUCUUGGAUGAGUUGCGAACGGGUGAGUAACGCGUAGGUAACCUGCCUUGUAGCGGGGGAUAACUAUUGGAAACGAUAGCUAAUACCGCAUAACAAUGGAUGACACAUGUCAUUUAUUUGAAAGGGGCAAUUGCUCCACUACAAGAUGGACCUGCGUUGUAUUAGCUAGUAGGUGAGGUAAUGGCUCACCUAGGCGACGAUACAUAGCCGACCUGAGAGGGUGAUCGGCCACACUGGGACUGAGACACGGCCCAGACUCCUACGGGAGGCAGCAGUAGGGAAUCUUCGGCAAUGGGGGCAACCCUGACCGAGCAACGCCGCGUGAGUGAAGAAGGUUUUCGGAUCGUAAAGCUCUGUUGUAAGUCAAGAACGGGUGUGAGAGUGGAAAGUUCACACUGUGACGGUAGCUUUCCAGAAAGGGACGGCUAACUACGUG
rnacentral:rRNA from 1 species